UACGGAGGGUGCAAGCGUUAUCCGGAUUCACUGGGUUUAAAGGGUGCGUAGGUGGGUUUGUAAGUCAGUGGUGAAAUCUCCGAGCUUAACUCGGAAACUGCCAUUGAUACUAUAGAUCUUGAAUCAUCUGGAGGUAAGCGGAAUAUGUCAUGUAGCGGUGAAAUGCUUAGAUAUGACAUAGAACACCAAUUGCGAAGGCAGCUUACUACGGAUGUAUUGACACUGAGGCACGAAAGCGUGGGGAUCAAACAGG
rnacentral:rRNA from 1 species